GCUCCUGCGUUGUGUGUAAUCCUGGCUAGGUAGUAGGAGGCUGAGGCGAGCUGGCGGAGUUCAGGGCUGCACCCUGCUAUGCUGAGCAGGUGUCUGUGCUAAGGUUGGCGUUAAGAUGGUGAUUCUGGGAAGUUCGGGGUCCCCAGAUUCCCUAAGGAGGGGUGAAGGAGGCCCCCCCCGGAGCAAGUUAAAACUCCCGCGGGGAUUGAUAGGGGGAUUGCUGCACCCGUGAACAGCUGCUGGAGCACCCCUGGGCAAGACAGCGAGAGCCCGUCUCUU
rnacentral:SRP_RNA from 1 species